GGGCUCUAUGCUGAGCUUUGUGAGGGCAGGAGGGAGAGUGAGGAGAGGCAACCACGAAUAAGAAGAUAGAAGGCCUGGUCUCUGCCCUCAAGCAGAUGUGGCAAGCCAAAGUACUGCGGCUUUCUGGAGUGGGAAAGGUGCUGCCAUGCUUGAACUGUGCCACUGGAAACCACACCUAUUCUUCCCCGGAGAAAGACUUGAAUGGUAAUGUGAAGCCUGGAACUGCAGCAAUCAUCUUGUAUUCAUGAGGGAGAGACCAAGAGAAUCUCAGAGAUGUUCAGAAGUCAUGAACCAAUGCUAAACAAAUGUCCAGCUCCAAACUUCUUUGUA